rnacentral:rRNA from 1 species
CCUACGGGUGGCAGCAGUGGGGGAUAUUGCACAAUGGAGGGAACUCUGAUGCAGCGACGCCGCGUGGGCGAAGGAGUUCUUCGGCAUGUAAACCCCUAUCAGCGGGGAAGAAAAUGACGGUACCUGACUAAGAAGCCCCGGCUAAAUACGUGCCAGCAGCCGCGGUAAUACGUAUGGGGCAAGCGUUAUCCGGAUUUACUGGGUGUAAAGGGAGCGGAGGCGGGCGGGCAAGGUUGAUGUGAAAUACCGGGGCCUAACCCCGGGGCUGCAUUGGGAAUUGCCAGGCUGGAGUGACGGAGGGGCAGGCGGAAUUCCUAGUGUAGCGGUGAAAUGCGUAGAUAUUAGGAGGAACACCAGUGGCGAAGGCGGCCUGCUGGACGGUGACUGACGCUGAGGCUCGAAAGCGUGGGGAGCAAACAGGAUUAGAUACCCUAGUAGUC